AAGUAAAAGAAGCAAAUUAGAUGUUAUAAAAUAUCAAUAAACUAUUUAUUUAUUCAACACAUUCACUGCCAGUGACAUCCACACAUUGUCAUCAUGUUGUUAAUAAACCUAGACGAUGACGAUGCGUCGUCAUCAUAAAUAAAUGGAGUUUUUGAUUAAAUUAAAAUAUUGAGUACAGAAAAACAUUUAUCUUUUAAACUAAUAAACAGGAUUGAAGACUGUGAAUACUUACAGUUACAGCAAAUUGUUCUGCUUCUACAAGAUCUUCAUAAGGACAAUCUAAGUCUCUAAGUUUCUUUAAUUGAUCUGGUGGUGAAUAAAAAAUAAAUUAAAUGUUCUAAGAAUUUUAAGAAACAUGAAAAAUACAUGGACCCCUCAAAAAAUUAUCUAACAAAAAGGAAUUAAUGCACCCAUUUAUAGCAUUUCUUCAAACUUAUCAUUGAGUGCUUCUACAUCUAAAUGUUCAAUAAACAUUUCACACUCAUCUGCAUCGUAUUGACCUCCUGAUGAAAUAUCGUUAUCUGAGUUGAUGCGUGGCAAAGAGCGGCUGCCAACACCAUAUGUACUUCCACUGCUGUAGAUACCAUUGCCACCGACACCACCAAUGGGUGAUGA